CUACUAGCCCAACAAACAGCGCUGGUACUCUGCACUGCGUCACUGAGAAUGAUUUACAUGAGUGGAGUGAUGCGAACUGUGAUGCUCCCCAUGUUUUCAUCUGCCAUCAAGUGGUAAAGACGGCCAGCCUUGUGAAGAUGACGACUGUGACCGAUGCCGACCUGACGGAUCCGGACAUCAGCGCCCAGCUCCUCCAGCAGCUUGGCGCCUUACUGACAAGUCAGGGAUGGACUGAUUUCAAAAUACAGUGGAAGAUUACACCCAAGAAAGAAGGACA